rnacentral:rRNA from 1 species
GGAGGUUACUGCUAUCGGUGUUCGCCUAACCCAUGCGAGUCAUAUGUUCUUCGUGAACAUGGCGUACUGCUCAGUAACACGUGAAUAACCUGCCCUUGGGACCGGCAUAACCCCGGGAAACUGGGGAUAAUUCCGGAUACCGCAUAUAUGCUGGAAUGCUUUAUGCGUGAAAUGGAUUCGUCUGCCCAAGGAUGGAUCUGCGGCCUAUCAGGUAGUAGUGGGUGUAAUGUACCUACUACCCUACAACGGGUACGGGUUGUGAGAGCAAGAGCCCGGAAAUGGAUUCUGAGACAUGAAUCCAGGCCCUACGGGGCGCACCAC